UGCAGAAUCCCGUGAACCAUCGAGUCUUUGAACGCAAGUUGCGCCCGAAGCCUUCGGGCCAAGGGCACGUCUGCCUGGGCGUCACGC
rnacentral:rRNA from 3 species